rnacentral:rRNA from 1 species
GAUGAACGCUAGCGACAGGCCUAACACAUGCAAGUCGAGGGGCAGCAUGAAAUUAGCUUGCUAAUUUUGAUGGCGACCGGCGCACGGGUGAGUAACACGUAUGCAACCUGCCUGUAAGCGGGGGAUAACCCGGAGAAAUUCGGACUAAUACCGCAUAAUAUCAUCGAAUCGCAUGUUUUGAUGAUUAAAAAUUUAUUGCUUACAGGUGGGCAUGCGUAUGAUUAGCUAGUUGGCGGGGUAACAGCCCACCAAGGCGGCGAUCAUUAGGGGUGCUGAAAGGAAGGGCCCCAAAGUGGCAACUGAGACACGGUCCAAGCUCCUACGGGGGGUAGCAGUGAGGAAUAGUGGUCAAUGGACGCAAGUCUGAACAAGCCAUGUUGCGUGAAGGAGGACUGUCCUAUGGAUUGUAAACUUCUGUUAUAUGGGGAUAAAGUGUGGGACUUGUCUCAUUUUGCCUGUACCAUAUGGAGAGGCAGCGGCAAACUCCGUGAAAGCAGCCGCCGUAAGAC